rnacentral:rRNA from 1 species
CGCAUCUGUGCAUGCAGCAUAUCAAUAAGCGGAGGAAAAGAAACUAACAAGGAUUCCCCUAGUAACGGCGAGUGAGCGGGAAGAGCUCAAAUUUGAAAUCUUAAAGGGUUUCCCUUUACGAAUUGUAGUUUAAAGAAGUGUUUUCUGUUGAGGUUUUGGUAAAAGUUCUUUGGAAUAGGACAUCAUAGAGGGUGAGAAUCCCGUAUUUGACCUUUACUUUCAACUUUGUGAUACACUUUCAAAGAGUCGGAUUGUUUGGGAAUGCAGUCCAAAAUGGGUGGUAAAUUUCAUCUAAAGCUAAAUAUUGGCGAGAGACCGAUAGCGAACAAGUACCGUGAGGGAAAGAUGAAAAGAACUUUGAAAAGAGAGUUAAACAGUACGUGAAAUUGUCAAAAGGGAAGCGUUUGACACCAGUGUUGUUUUUCUGAAAAUCAAUUAAAGAACUGUUUAUGCUAAGCUGUUUAGACUUUAUCAGCUAUCUGUUUAGUUUUGAGCUUUUCUUUAAUGCACUUUUCAGUUAACAAGUCAACAUCAAUUUCUUUUGCUGUAAAAAAGCUUGAGGGAGGUGGCUUGAGAUUCGUCUUAAGUGUUUAUAGCCUCUUGCCUAUGCAGUCGGAGAGAUUGAGGUCUGCAGCGUAGAUCCUUCGGGGCUAAAUGCAUUUGUGCUAAGUUAUAGCAUUUUAUAGACAACUUGUUGACUAUGAUUUGUCUUGUAGCUUACUCGCUUAUGUUAUUUUACCUACGCUUAGGAUGUUGACAGCAGUAUAGACUGU